rnacentral:rRNA from 1 species
UGGCGGCAUGCCUAACACAUGCAAGUCGAACGAGACCUUCGGGUCUAGUGGCGCACGGGUGCGUAACACGUGGGAAUUGCCUCGGGGUAUGGAAUAACUCAGGGAAACUUGAGCUAAUACCAUAUAAUGUCUUCGGACCAAAGAUUUAUCGCCCUGAGAUAAGCCCGCGUAGGAUUAGCUAGUUGGUGGGGUAAAGGCUCACCAAGGCGACGAUCCUUAGCUGGUCUGAGAGGAUGAUCAGCCACACUGGGACUGAGACACGGCCCAGACUCCUACGGGAGGCAGCAGUGGGGAAUAUUGGACAAUGGGCGCAAGCCUGAUCCAGCAAUGCCGCGUGCAGGAUGAAGGCCUUCGGGUUGUAAACUGCUUUUGUACGGAACGAAACGGUGAGCUCUAAUACAGUUUGCUAAUGACGGUACCGUAAGAAUAAGCACCGGCUAACUACGUG